UCCUGAGGCGGACUUCGCACGGUGCAGAACUGCGGAGGAGAGUAAGGUGCAUGGGCUUCUUUGAAGAAAGAAAGUGUUGUGAGGACACAACAUUUGUCCUCCCUUUCGCCUUCCACCACGUGAGGACACAGCAAGAAGGCCCUCACCAGAUGCCAGAUUCUAGCACCUUGAUCUUGGACUUCCCAGACUCCAGAACUUUCCUUCUAGGUACAGGUGCUACUCUGUGUUAAGCUCCACCAUCUUUGCUCAACUUCUUUCUGAGGCAACUUCGUGUCCAAGUAUCCCCAGAAUCCCCAGAGCAAGCUGUAUGAUUGCAGAUGCUUCUCAUCCACCUGGAAGAACAAAAGGAAGAACUCCUAUCACUAGAGAUCUACAAAAGAAGAGAUGAAAUGAAAGUAGAUGUGGACGUAGCAGAGGAUCAUUCAAGACCUUCCCUGGGAUGAGUAAAGCAAUUCUCUUCACUUCAGAG